rnacentral:rRNA from 1 species
GGAGAAAUGAUCUAAUAACUUUUUAAAUUAACCCACUUAAAAUUAAAAUUUCAGUAAAAAUUCUGUUAUUACAAAUAGGACGACAAGACCCUAAUGAACUUCACUAACAGUUAUACUGGGGCGGUAAAAACCUAAAUCUUUCUUCACUCCUCAUAUACAAGCUCAAACUAAGAAACAAAAACAAGUUACCAUAGGGAUAACAGCGUGAUAUUAUGCUAAAGCCCCCAUAAAACAUAAUAAUUACGACCUCGAUGUUGAAUUAAUGUACCUAAUAAAAGAAACCUCCUAAUAAGUAAGUCUGUUCGACUUUUAAAACAUUACAU